CACUAUUUGAAGAAGGUGCUUGCUUUCCCUUCUCUCUUUUGCCAUGAUUGAAAGUUUCCUGAAGCCUCCCCAGCUAUGCUUCCUGUACAACCUGUGGAACUAGGAAAUUUGUUUUGCAACAGAAAACAUAAGAAAUUUUCCCUGCUUGGAAGAUACUCAUACAUACCAGAAACAAGUCAACAUUUUGAUUUCAAACAUCAAAAAAGGUGUCCAGAAAUCUCAAGAAUUUGAGACAUCCUAAGGAACUUUAAGUGCUGUGAGCCACAAGUAACAUCAAGAAAAGACAGGGAUGAAGAACCGCACUUACAAGCUAAGUAAGAUUAAACCCAGCAUGGAGAUAUAUGAAUUAAUAUGAACUCUGAGAAAGAAAUUGGUCAGCUAAAAAAUAUAUGGCUUUCCUGAAUAGACAAAAGAACAAAGAUUUUCCCUUUGAGAUUCGGCAGGAAGCUUGCACCGAGUGAAGGAUUUAUAAAGAUUAUAGGAGAUAACACAAAGCUAUUUUAUCUCUUUAAAAAAAAUCAAAGGUGUAAGCUCAUCCUACACAUGUCAUUUGGACCAGACCAAGGCUGCUGUCAUGGAGGACCCACACCACAGCUUGGGAACCAUUCAUCUACCAGAGGGUCACAUGACUUCAAAUGACUCUUCUAGGGGCCACCUGCCAUGAUAGGGUACCAGCUCUUCCUCUGAAUUCCCAAUCCAUUUCUUGAGAACUACUGUUUCUAAUAAGAGGGGAAGAAGGUCAUGUGGGAAUCAGUUAAAUCACGUGUGGAUAGAAGACAAGUUCCAGCUUUGUGGGAAAUCCUGUAGCCUUCGCCAGGUACACCCUGACAAUCUCAGAACUGAUCAGAGUUUUUGUUCCAUGUGAGAUACCCACGCCACUUUAAAAAACAAACUAUCCUGACAUCUAAUUACUUUGUGAAUGAUUGUAAUGGCAAUAACAAUAGAGAUGGAAGAAUUUUGGAAACAA
rnacentral:lncRNA from 1 species